UACAGAGGUCUCAAGCGUUGUUCGGAUUCAUUGGGCGUAAAGGGUGCGUAGGUGGCGCCAUAAGUCAGGUGUGAAAUCUCGGGGCUUAACUCCGAAACUGCAUUUGAUACUGUGGUGCUUGAGGACUGGAGAGGAGACUGGAAUUCACGGUGUAGCAGUGAAAUGCGUAGAUAUCGUGAGGAAUACCGGUGGCGAAGGCGGCAUCCUGGACCGACAUUGACGCUGAACGGCGAAAGCUAGGGGAGCAAACGGG
rnacentral:rRNA from 1 species